UACAGAGGUCCCAAGCGUUGUUCGGAUUUACUGGGCGUAAAGGGUGCGUAGGUGGCGGGGUAAGUCUGGUGUGAAAGCUCCGAGCUCAACUCGGAAAAGCAUUGGAAACUAUUCCGCUAGAGGGUCGGAGGGGAGACUGGAAUUCUCGGUGUAGCAGUGAAAUGCGUAGGUAUCGAGAGGAACACCAGUGGCGAAGGCGAGUCUCUGGACGACUCCUGACACUGAGGCACGAAAGCUAGGGGAGCAAACAGGA
rnacentral:rRNA from 1 species